rnacentral:misc_RNA from 1 species
AGUCGUAACAAGGUAUCCGUAGGUGAACCUGCGGAUGGAUCAUUACCAAAGGAAUGAAAAUUCUACGUUAUGUGAACAGUUUUGAGUAUGGGGUGACGGUCAGUGGUGGUUUUGGGGUUAGGCUUAAUCCUAAUGCACUGCUGGCUGUGCCCGAUCAUUAAAUGUCUUCUACGAUCAAACUGAUGUCUACUUAGCUUCAGAACUAAACACAACUUUUAGCAACGGAUCUCUUGGCUCUC